rnacentral:RNase_P_RNA from 1 species
CAAGUAAAUUAAAUAGUCGCCUCGUAUUUUUACGGGGAGGAAAGUCCGGGCACCAUAAAAAAAGACAGCGGAUAACUUCCGCCGAGUGUGAGCUUAGGGAAAGUGCCGCAGAGACAAUAUUUCUUUGUUUUAGGGGAGACCUCCUAAAAUAGGGUAAAGGUGAAAAGUGAGGGAUUAAGACCCCUCUUUCCGCGGGGAAACCCGUAGGAAUGGUAAACCCUGUCUGGUGCAAGAGUAAAUCCCGGUUUUACAUCGGGAAAAAAGUAGCUCGCUUGAGCCUAAUAGUAAUAUUGGGCCUAGAUUAAUGACUAUUUAAACCCGCCUUUGGCGAGGUGAACAGAACCCGGCUUAUUAUUUACUUGGAUA